GAUGAACGCUGGCGGCGUGCCUAAUACAUGCAAGUCGAGCGAACAGACGAGGAGCUUGCUCCUCUGACGUUAGCGGCGGACGGGUGAGUAACACGUGGAUAACCUACCUAUAAGACUGGGAUAACUUCGGGAAACCGGAGCUAAUACCGGAUAAUAUAUUGAACCGCAUGGUUCAAUAGUGAAAGACGGUUUUGCUGUCACUUAUAGAUGGAUCCGCGCCGCAUUAGCUAGUUGGUAAGGUAACGGCUUACCAAGGCAACGAUGCGUAGCCGACCUGAGAGUGGGAGCGGCAACAGUGGAACUGAGACGCGGACCAGACCACGGGGGGAGGAACAAGGAGGGAUUCUCCCGAAAGGGGGGAAACCCGGAAGAAGCACCGCGGGGGGAUGGAUAAAGGUUUGCGAAUCGAAAACCUUUUUUAUGAGAAAAAAACAAAUGUGAAAGUAACUAUGCCCGUCGGGAGGGUACAUAAUAAGAAGCCCCCGCCAAACUACGCC
rnacentral:rRNA from 1 species